ACAGAGCCAGGUUCGAGAGCUAGGGGCUGGUCAAUGGGAGGCCUGGCCCAGGCCCUUUCUAAAUCCACUCGGAGUGAAAGUUGCUCUGUGAGCUGUAGUCGUUCUAGUUAUUAUCCCUUAUUGAACAUUUCCAAGACAGAGUAAGCAUAGACAAAGACCUGAAGAAGAGAUGGAGGCCAACUGUGGGAACUCGAUUGGCCACUUCAGCUUGGAGUGGAAUCUACUAAUCACAACCCGCAGAAUGACCUCCCUUCCUGCCUUUCCAUUCCUGACCUGGCCACUGCCACAUGGAAGAUGGAAGAACCGGCUCUGACAGAGCUCGAGAGCCUGCUAUUUGGAAAUCCCCAGAAGACAAGAACGUACACCUAGUUCCGGGUUCUGAGUAGAAUUAGAUUCAUUCCGGCUCUUUAAGUCAACGUGUCUCGAAGAAGAUGCAGUUCCUUACGGAGCCCCACGGAGAAACGGAGCAGCCCCCAUCUUCUCCCCGUCCAUCCCCCCAUGACCAAUUCUGCCCUCCCGCUCAAAUGGACUCUUUCGCUUUGGAAGCCAUUCAUCGGGGAAGGUUGUAGGUAUUUAAAGCUCCAGAUGCAUCAGUAAUAAUUCCACUCAGCUUGUGGGGCGGGAAGCGGGG